rnacentral:rRNA from 1 species
AUUUAACGCUGGCGGCAGUCCUAACACAUGCAAGUCGAGCGGAUUUAGUGAGCUUGCUCCUGUAUUCAGCGGAUGACGGGUUAUUAAUGCCUAUGAAUCUGCCUGGUAGUGUGGGAUAACGUUCGGAAACUGGCUCUUUUACCGCAUCCGUCCUUCGGGUUAAAUUGGGGUCUCUUCUGAUCUCACGCUUUCAGAUCAGCCUAGGUCGGAUUAGCUAGUUCGUGCGGUAAAGGCCUACCAAGGCGACGAUCCGUAACUUGUCUGAGAGGAUGAUCAGUCACACUGGAACUGAGACACGGUCCAGACUCCUACGGGAGGCAGCAGUGGGGAAUAUUGGACAAUGGGCGGAAGAAUGAUCCAGCCAUGCCGCAUGUGUGAAGAAGGUCUUCGGAUUGUAAAGCACUUUAAGUUGGGAGGAAGGGCAGUAAGUUAAUACCUUGCUGUUUUAACGUUACCAACAGAAUAAGCACAGGCUAAAUUCGUG